rnacentral:lncRNA from 1 species
AUCUAAUACUUACAAUUUGUUAACUCUCCUUACUUUAACUUACAUAUAUUAAUUCUAAUUCCCAAGAGAACAUUUUAGGAACAGAUGCUAUUAUUCCCCUUCUUUGGGAGAAGAAACACAGGGCCAGAAUAGUUCAGUGACUUGCCCAGAACCUCAAUAAAAUAAAUAUUAUAACUUCAGAUUUGAACCCAAGUCUUUCUAUGGCUAAAGACCAUUCUCUUUCCAAUACAUCAUUCUACCUCCUAGUUUAUGUAAAUUGGAGCAACCAAGUCUGUUUCAACUUGUUUCUAAUUUGUGAGUAAGCUCUUCAAUAUGUUCUAAAACAAUUAGCCACUAUCCAUAAAUAAUCACAGUUGGAAUAGAUAAUUAAACAAACAAAAAGUCUCGUUUCUCUCAUUGCAGGUGUGAACAAGGUCCAUCAAAUGUGUAACUUACUUCUCCAAACUCUACAGAUAUCUCACAAUAUCAUAAGAGUUGGAACUUAAGUUUCAAAGAGAUGGAAGCAAAGUGACACCAAAAAUAUCCUAAAAUUGAACCAGAAUAAUGGGAAGCCUCCAGAAACAAAGCUGGAAUUGAACCAGACUUGCUUUUGUUGACCCAGCAUUUGGACUCAGGCAAAUGCUGACGCGGAUGAAGUUUGCCUUUGUUCCUUCUGCAUCGUCCUUUCCAGCAUCACUUUCUCCUGAAGGUCCCGUGUGCGUAGACAGCAGUGUCACAGGAAAAAUGUAUGGAUUGACUCCUUAAUAUGUCUCCAAACAGCACAGGCUUGGACAUAACAAUAAGACCAGGAAAUACAAAUGGACUGUUAAAAGGAGUAUUUACAGUGGAAACACAAUAAAAAGUGUGGACUCAAGCUGUGUUUAUAUUCCUAUGUUUUCAGGACUUUUGACAUUUAUAACCCUUUUGGCUUUAAAAUUCAAUUUUCAUACUUCAUCUAAGUGAUAAGGUGUAUUUCUUUUGACAAGGUCUAAGAAAAAUAAUCUUUUCAGUUAUUUUGAGUUAUGAAAAAAAUGGGUGAACC